UCAAAACGGAGAGUUUGAUCCUGGCUCAGGAUGAACGCUGGCGGUAUGCUUAACACAUGCAAGUCGAACGGUGCUUU
rnacentral:rRNA from 1 species